CCUACGGGAGGCUGCAGUAGGGAAUCUUUCUCAAUGGGGGAAACCCUGAAGCAGCAACGCCGCGUGGAGGAUGAAGGUUUUCGGAUUGUAAACUCCUUUUGUUAGAGAAGAUAAUGAUGGUAUCUAAUGAAUAAGCAUCGGCUAACUCCGUGCCAGCAGCCGCGGUAAUACGGAGGGUGCAAGCGUUACCCGGAAUCACUGGGUGUAAAGAGUGCGUAGGCGGGCAAGCAAAUUAGAUGGAAAAUCCUAGGGCUUAACCAUAGGACUGCAUUUGAAACUGUUAUUCUAGAGUAUGGGAGAGGUAGGUGGAAUUCUUGGUGUAGGGGUAAAAUCCGUAGAGAUCAAGAGGAAUACUCAUUGCGUAGGCAACCUACUAGAACAUAACUGACGCUGAGGCACGAAAGCGUGGGGAGCAAACAGGAUUAGAUACCCCUGUAGUC
rnacentral:rRNA from 1 species